GACGAACGCUGGCGGCGUGCCUAAUACAUGCAAGUUGAGCGCUGAAGGUUGGUACUUGUACCGACUGGAUGAGCAGCGAACGGGUGAGUAACGCGUGGGGAAUCUGCCUUUGAGCGGGGGACAACAUUUGGAAACGAAUGCUAAUACCGCAUAAAAACUUUAAACACAAGUUUUAAGUUUGAAAGAUGCAAUUGCAUCACUCAAAGAUGAUCCCGCGUUGUAUUAGCUAGUUGGUGAGGUAAAGGCUCACCAAGGCGAUGAUACAUAGCCGACCUGAGAGGGUGAUCGGCCACAUUGGGACUGUGACACGGCCCAAACUCCUACGGGAGGCAGCAGUAGGGAAUCUUCGGCAAUGGACGAAAGUCUGACCGAGCAACGCCGCGUGAGUGAAGAAGGUUUUCGGAUCGUAAAACUCUGUUGGUAGAGAAGAACGUUGGUGAGAGUGGAAAGCUCAUCAAGUGACGGUAACUACCCAGAAAGGGACGGCUAACUACGUG
rnacentral:rRNA from 1 species